ACGGGUGAGUAACACGUGGGCAACCUGCCCUUGAGACUGGGAUAACUUCGGGAAACCGGAGCUAAUACCGGAUAAUAUAAGGAACCUCCUGGUUCCUUGUUGAAAGAUGGUUUCGGCUAUCACUUAAGGAUGGGCCCGCGGCGCAUUAGCUAGUUGGUGAGGUAACGGCUCACCAAGGCGACGAUGCGUAGCCGACCUGAGAGGGUGAUCGGCCACACUGGGACUGAGACACGGCCCAGACUCCUACGGGAGGCAGCAGUAGGGAAUCUUCCACAAUGGACGAAAGUCCGAUGGAGCAACGCCGCGUGAGUGAUGAAGGCCUUCGGGUCGUAAAGCUCUGUUGUUAGGGAAGAACAAGUGCGAGAGUAACUGCUCGCACCUUGACGGUACCUAACCAGAAAGCCACGGCUAACUACGUGCCAGCAGCCGCGGUAAUACGUAGGUGGCAAGCGUUAUCCGGAAUUAUUGGGCGUAAAGCGCGCGCAGGUGGUUUCUUAAGUCUGAUGUGAAAGCCCACGGCUCAACCGUGGAGGGUCAUUGGAAACUGGGGAACUUGAGUGCAGAAGAGGAAAGUGGAAUUCC
rnacentral:rRNA from 1 species